AUUGAACGCUGGCGGCAGGCUUAACACAUGCAAGUCGAGCGAGCGGCGGACGGGUGCGUAAUGUCUGGGACACUGCCUGAUGGAGGGGGAUAACUACUGGAAACGGUAGCUAAUACCGCAUACCAUCAGAUGUGCCCAGAUGGGAUUAGCUAGUAGGUGGGGUAAUGGCUCACCUAGGCGACGAUCCCUAGCUGGUCUGAGAGGAUGACCAGCCACACUGGAACGGAGACACGGUCCAGACUCCGACGGGAGGCAGCAGUGGGGAAUAUUGCACAAUGGGCGCAAGCCUGAGGCAGCCAUGCCGCGUGUGUGAAGAAGGCCUUAGGGUUGUAAAGCACUUUCAGCGAGGAGGCGUUACUCGCAGAAGAAGCACCGGCUAACUCCGUGCCAGCAGCCGCGGUAAUAC
rnacentral:rRNA from 1 species